GCAUCAGUGGUUUAGUGGUAAAAUUCGUCGUUGCCAUCUUUGUAAGUUGUGACUCGACGAGCCGGGGGUUCGAUUCCCCCCUGAUGCA